GACGAACGCUGGCGGCGUGCUUAACACAUGCAAGUCGAACGGAAAGGCCCUGCUUUUGUGGUGUUCUCGAGUGGCGAACGGGUGAGUAACACGUGUGUAACCUGCCCUUGACUUUGGGAUAACUUCAGGAAACUGGGGCUAAUACCGGAUAGGAGCUCCUGCUGCAUGGUGGGGGUUGGAGAGAUUCGGCGGUAGGGGCUCGAUUGGCGGGUUCUCAGCUUGUUUGGGGAGUAGUGGAUUACGAGGGCUUUGACGGAUAGGCGGCCUGGGAGGUUGACCGGGCACCAUGGGCCUGCGGUACGCCGCAGUCGCGAACGUGAGGCAGCAGUGGAGAGCAUGGCACAACGGCCCGACGUCAGUUGCAGCAGCGCCGCGUGCGGGAUGACGGGCUACGGGUUGUAAACCGCUGUCGCCUGUGACGAAGCGUGAGUGACGGUAAUGAGUAAAGAAGCACCGGCUAACUACGUG
rnacentral:rRNA from 1 species